rnacentral:lncRNA from 1 species
GAAUCUGUUAAACAAUUGGAUUUGUUAUACCUCCAUGUUGAAGUAGGCAAAAAGAAUGAACAACAUAUAUUAUCUUGUUACAGAAUAAAAGUGAGAUUCUUAAAGUUUUCCUACUUUUUACCUCCAGAAAGUCAUCCAAAGAAUGAAGAUAUGGCCACAAAACAGUAGCAAAUGUUCCUGACACAACCAAACCCAAUUUUAAUACCUCAAGAUAUGGGUUUCGAUGCCUUAUACAAUUACCCAAGAGAUGGCUACAAAGUGCUAGCGCAAAAUAAGCACUCAUCUGCACAACAUAAGAAAAAUUCAUCCUCCAAAAUCAGAUCAACAAGGUGCGUAGACAGUAGAUGUCAGAAAAUCAUUAUGAAACUAUAGAUUUUUUCUAUAGUUAAGACAUCAAUGAAUAAGGUCAUUUUCUUGUUAAUUUACUUAUGUUCCAAUGUAAGACAGUCGCUCCAUACAGAUGUUUUCCUAUAAUGGGAUGUGACUGCUAAUAGCAUUCCAUGUUUAUUAAGCUCAUUCUCUUACAACUUAAGACUUAAUUAGUGAUUUUUAUCGUAUCAAUGUUGAACAAAUGAACUAUAACAAUUUAAUGAUUUUAUUACAAAUUGUGGACUGCCGAAGCAAUUAAGAAAGAAAAAAUGAAAGGUGAGCUAGUAACGUGUAUGUAUCCAUGUUAAAUGAAAAAACAUGUUUAUGGUUGAGAGCAAGACUGAACAGGAUAGAACCAACAAGAUUUUUGCUAGAGAGAAUGGCGGCAAUAGCUCCAACAGUAAGGCCCGGGCUAAUACAAUUAUACUAACAAGGAAAAAACAAAUGGCUAAGAACUCUAGACUUCUACCAUCAUAAAUAAUAUAUAAAUUAAGACAACAAUCAUAACUUCGAUUUUUGCCUAUCCCCCCCAAAAAAGUCAUAACUCCAACAGAAAUAAUACCUGAAAGUGACCAUGAUCAAUCAGGAUGAGGCAUGGGCCGAGUAAAAUUAUUGCAAUGUGUCAUGCUACAUUACUUGUAUGUCCUCUUGGGUUGUCUAGAAUAACAUGCAAUGACAAAACAAAGAACUGCAGGAAAGAAUAACAUGGCAUACAUAUACAAAAUUUAAAUUAAAAUAUCUAAGAAUGGAAUUUCUCAUGCCUAGAAAUCACAAAAUUAGAAUGGAAUUUCAUGAAUCAUGUUUCAAAAAAUAAGGAUCCGCAGGCUUCACAAAUUAGGUCUUCACAUUACCUCAGACCUUGUUUUUUGUGCAAUUAGUACUACCUCUUUUAAAUUUUAAUAAUAAUAUUGUCCUGUAACAGCAAUGUAAGACCCCAACUUUUAUGAAUAAAAAUUAAUUUUUUUCGAAAUAUAUUUUUGAAUAUUAUGGUGUGGAUUUGAUAAAAUGUUAUAGUUGUGGGUAAUAUUUAUAAAUUUUGCAAAGUAAGCAAGUUGUUAUAAAAUAUUCGAUUGGUCAGGGAAUAUUCGUUUUAAUAGUGAAUAUUCGUACGAUGACACAAUCACUAGUGGACCCCACAACGGAAUUAAUAUCGAAGUUAGAAAACGACAAAAUAUUUUUUUUAUAAAAAUAACGGCGAAAGUUUUACCGUUAAACUAUUGAAAUACCCGGUGGUAAAAGUACAAUAAUGCGCAUAAUUGCAUAGUAGCACACAGUAUUGAUUAUUGAUGCUUACGUGAGAAGUCAAUCAGUUAUACUCAAUUACUGCUACAGUAAUUACUGCAUAAUAUCUAUCAUAUUAUUGAUUUAAUUAUUUUCAUAGUAUCAUCUGUAUAAUAUUUUAUAUUAUUAAAUCAAUAAUUGAGACGACAAAGUUGUUCAUAUUAUUAUUUGCAUUAUUGAUGAUGUCUAGAAAGUUCUAUCGAGGAAAGGGGUUUGGUCACCUAAUUCCGCACCAAAAGGGAGAAAUCUUUAUCGGAAAGCCCCCUCUUUCUUAGGAAUGAUCUGGUUAUUAAAUAUUGUGAGUUAUAAUAUUAAUGAUGAAUAAGUUCGUGUUGAUUAAAGAUGAAAUUAUUGAUAAAAAAUAUUUCCAUUGUGUUGGGAUUAUUAGUGUUAGCGGAAAUCAACAUUUAUUUCGAUAAUAAUUGAUUUCUAGAUGUUAAAUUGACCAAACGAGAAAUUAAUCGGAUAAAUGAGCAAUUAAUUGUUAUUAGUUCACAUGCAAAUUACUUUUGGUUCACAUGUAUGGAACUAUUGAUUCACAUGCAUGUACUAUUAGGGAAGGUGGUGUAAGAUUGAUAAUACUUGAAGGACUAAAUUAAAAAUAGAGGUAUAGAUGAAGGUACUAUACUGUAAUAAUUCGAGCCCCUAAUCGUGCAAUUAUCGAAACUAUGUUUAACUAUAAAUAGAAGUUCAUUCUUCUUUCAUUCUCACCAAUUCACUAAGACUCACAAGAGCAUUUAUAGAGAGAGAAGCUAUAGAGAGAAAGAAGACGAGUAUUCUGCUACUUCACUAUUGCAGUAUCUAGCCUUCUAAGGUAAGGAAUAUUAUUUUUGUUCAAUAUUCGUAUGAAAUAAUAUUUUCUUUCAUACUCUAUAGUAUGUAGGUAAUAUUAUUUCGUUUCGUAUUCCUAAUUCUACACUCAUUCUGUUAAAGUAUUGCUUCUAUACUCCGUGAAAUUAGUAGAAUAUCCUUGAAAUUUGCGCUUCAUCUAGUAUCGUUUCACAAGGAUAUUUUUUUGAAUAUUCUUGUUAAAUUUUAAACUUUUCAUGUCAAAGUACUAUUCACAAGAUACUAUUCACAAAAUACUAUUCAUGAGAUACUAUUCAUAAAGUACUAUUCACGAGGUAUUAUUCAUAAGUACUAUUCACGGGGUACUAUUCACGAAGUACUAUUCAUGAAGUACUAUUCAUGGGUUACUAUUCACUCGGGUUCUAUUCACUCGGGGUACUAUUCAUGACAAAAAUUAAUUUUUUUUCUGUUCAAAUUAUUUUUGAUACAAUAUUAUUCUUGAAUUUUACUCCACAAAGCAGUAUCAUGUUUACAAUUUGGACAUUAUUAAAUUCUGGAUAAAUUAAAUUAUAAAUCUUUAAAAGUUUAUCAUUUUCUUUCUUUUAAUUAAAUUCUUAUAUCAUUGUCAUCAUCCUCAUGCUUAUAUUAUAAUUGGUCGUAGUGCAUAGAUCGACUGUUGAUUGGUAUGAUUAUGACCAUAGAUUAUUCGGUAUAAUCAUGACCCGUAAUGUUACAAAUGUUGUGGUAAAAGUUCUCAUUGGCCCGUAGUGCAUUGAUGGACAGUUGUUGACAUGACCAUGACCAUUGGUGAUUACACGAAUAUCCUUGGCCCGUAGUGGAUGGAUAAUUCGUGGACGUGAUACUAAUGAAUAGCCUUGACCCGUAGUGCAUGGAUAAUUCAGUGAUGUGGAUUAUUUAUUGAGUUGAGUCUCUGUGAUAAAGUUGAUGAUAAACUUUUUAAAUCAUAGAAGAUAGUAGAUAUCAUGCUCUACUUGACUCUUCUAAUGGAUUGCUUGUUCCGCUGCAGUUAAACUUGUUGUUUAUUAGUUUAACACUGUUGAAAGCUAAUGAUAAUUUAUUCUGCAUUAUCUUAGUCAUAAUAUUUCUUACUGGGCUAGUUGAGCUCACCCUUUUGCUUUCAUUGUUCUCUUCAGGAAAUAAGAACGUAGCCGGAACUAGUCGGGGAACGGAGUGAUGGUCCAGAUGGUGACUAUAGUAGUCCUCACUAUUCUAUGAAAUAGUGUGAUAAUAAAUGUAAUGAGGACUCCAUUUGAGUUUGAAUACUGUCUAGAAGACAAUAUUCGUGUAAAAACUCUCAGCUACAUUUUGUCAUAUUGUAUAAAAGAAGUUUUUAUUUUAUUUCUAU